rnacentral:rRNA from 1 species
GAUGAACGUUGGCGGCGUGCCUAAUACAUGCAAGUCGAGCGAACAGAUAAGGAGCUUGCUCCUUUGACGUUAGCGGCGGACGGGUGAGUAACACGUGGGUAACCUACCUAUAAGACUGGGAUAACUUCGGGAAACCGGAGCUAAUACCGGAUAACAUUUGGAACCGCAUGGUUCUAAAGUGAAAGAUGGUUUUGCUAUCACUUAUAGAUGGACCCGCGCCGUAUUAGCUAGUUGGUAAGGUAACGGCUUACCAAGGCAACGAUACGUAGCCGACCUGAGAGGGUGAUCGGCCACACUGGAACUGAGACACGGUCCAGACUCCUACGGGAGGCAGCAGUAGGGAAUCUUCCGCAAUGGGCGAAAGCCUGACGGAGCAACGCCGCGUGAGUGAUGAAGGGUUUCGGCUCGUAAAACUCUGUUAUUAGGGAAGAACAAACGUGUAAGUAACUGUGCACGUCUUGACGGUACCUAAUCAGAAAGCCACGGCUAACUACGUG